rnacentral:lncRNA from 1 species
UUACUACUCUCUUUCUCUCACUCAGUCACCCGCUCUCUCUCUCUCACUCAGGCCCAGAAGCUCUCUGGUCUCCGCCCCUCUCACCCACGAAGCUCGUUGCACGCCACGCCCGUGAAGCUCUGUGUCACGCCACGCCCAUCACCGACCAGUUGUUCCACGUCGACGACUAGCGAGAUUUGGUACUAUUGGUGUUCAGUUUUUGAUUUUUUCCUGGAUCUGAAAUGUAGAUUUUGUUUGUUCUUUUAUUUAUUAAAUCUAUGGGAUUUGAUGAAGUAUGUCUAUGUGGGAUUUUUUUUUAAUUAUUAUAUGCUAAUCUGACGAACUCUUUUGCUUUUGUUCCAUGGUUUGUCAUGAUUUUAAAGUGUUAUAUUUCCAGGGUCUAGCAAGCACCAUUAUGUGUUUAAAUUUAUUUUGGGGCCUGCAU